rnacentral:rRNA from 1 species
ACGGAAGGCAGCAGUGGGGAAUAUUGGGCAAUGGGCGCAAGCCUGACCCAGCAACGCCGCGUGAAGGAAGAAGGCUUUCGGGUUGUAAACUUCUUUUCAGGGGGAAGAGUAGAAGACUGUACCCCUAGAAUAAGCCACGGCUAACUACGUGCCAGCAGCCGCGGUAAUACGUAGGUGGCAAGCGUUGUCCGGAUUUACUGGGUGUAAAGGGCGUGUGGCCGGGGAGGCAAGUCAGAUGUGAAAUCUAUGGGCUCAACCCAUAAACUGCAUUUGAAACUGUUUCUCUUGAGUGCUGGAGGGGCAAUCGGAAUUCCUUGUGUAGCGGUGAAAUGCGUAGAUAUAAGGAGGAACACCAGUGGCGAAGGCGGAUUGCUGGACAGUAACUGACGGUGAGGCGCGAAAGUGUGGGGAGCAAACAGGAUUAGAUACCCUGGUA